CAUACAAGUAGUAGGGAAAGGAAACUGGACGACCCUUCGGGGAGCUUGAACAGGUGCUGCAUGGCUGUUGUCAGCUCGUGUCGUGAGAUGUUCGGUUAAGUCCGCUAACGAGCGCAACCCUCGCUGUGUGUUACAAGUGUCACACGGAACUGCCGGUCAUAAACCGGAGGAAGGUGGGGAUGACGUCAAGUCAGCAUGGCCUUUAUAUCCUGGGCUACACACACGCUACAAUGGGAAGGGACAAUAGGUUGCGAAGCCGCGAGGCGGAGCCAAUCCAGCAAAACUUCCCUCAGUUCAGAAUUGCAGGCUGCAACUCGCCUGCAUGAAGUUGGAGUUGCUAGUAAACGCAGGUCAGCCAUACUGCGUUGAAUACGUUCCCGGGGCUU
rnacentral:rRNA from 1 species